AGGUGUCAUUUCUUGGAAAGACUUUAGGGUGGUUUUUUUUCCUCCUGUGCCCUGCUGCCCCCAUCUGCUUCUCAGCAUCUGCCCUUCCCAUUGAUUCCACUGAAUUGUACCAGGACACAGAACAUCUGAGCAGCACACCCCUGGCAUGGAUAACCAGGACCACCACUGCUUCCCAGCUCUGCAUUCCUCCAGCACACAGCCAGAGGAGGAGGAGGCUGUAACUUCCAACGCCCUUACAGCCCUUCCGAAUCCCACCCAUGGACACCAUCCCCACCAGGGGACAGAAAAGCAGCUGAGGCCUCAGGACAGGCACACAGAAAGGACAGAAUAAGGAUGUCAGCUCUGCCCUGGUGACCUGGACACUGCUGUCCACAGCUAGGACAUCGAGUGUAAUUUAUGUGCCAGCCAGGAUCAGGAGAAGCUGAUCAGCAGAGGGAGGUCCCACUGGUGUCUGCCAGACCGUUUGCCUUCAGGAACUGGAAGCAAGAUGGGAUCAAAGACUUGCAUCUGCUCUUCAGCCGACGCAGGGCUGGCUAAUAGAUGGGAAGAAUGUGAAUAAUUUUUGUCACGUGGAGGAGGAAGAGGGAGCAGAGACUGUGGCUGCCCGCUGAGCUGAAAACUGAUGCUCACGUCUUGUUGACUGAUACGGAGAGGAUGCCAACACAGAUUUCUUUUUGAGACAGGCUGGGGUUGCCACCAGGACAAAGGUUUCCCUCAAAGGUAUUUACAUGUUUGGGAACACAGGCUGCAAGGUCUGCUCUUGCAAAGACUUGUGCACAUCUUUGGCUUGAGACACCUGCACUGCUCCUUCAUGGCAAGUGAAAUAGUUUCAAGCUGGAAGUUAACCUACACCUCCUGCCUGGCUUUUUUGUUUUGUUUUGCUUUCUGGUGGACGUGUUUCCCUUGUAAAUAAAGAGCCAAAGAAAAG